CCCUUAGAUGUUCUGGGCCGCACGCGUGCUACACUGAGUGGAUCAGCGGGUCAGGUUGCGCGAAAGCGUUUCCUAAUCUUUAAAUCCGCUCGUGAUGGGGAUUGACGGUUGCAAUUUUCUGUCAUGAACGAGGAAUACCUUGUAAGCGCGGGUCAUCAUCCCGCGCUGAAUACGUCCCUGCCCUUUGUACACACCACCCGUCGCUCCUACCGAUUGAGUGGUCCGGUGAGGCUUUGGGAUCUGAGCGGAAAGAGCGUUUCGCUGUUUCUGCUCGGAAAACUCAGUCGAACCUUAUCAUUUAGAGGAAGGAAAAGUCGUAACA
rnacentral:rRNA from 1 species